rfam:Triticum aestivum genome assembly, contig: Triticum_aestivum_CS42_TGACv1_scaffold_641945_T_4BL-0.135575_6AL-0.125499
UUUUUACUCCCUCCGUCCCAAAAUUCUUGUCUUAGAUUUGUCUAAAUACGAAUGUAUCAAGUCACAUUUUAGUAUUAGAUACAUUCGUAUCUAGACGAAUCUUAGACAAGAAUUUUAGGACGUAGGGAGUUUUUU